CUACACAUGCAAGUCGAGCGGAGAGAGGUAGCUUGCUACUGAUCUUAGCGGCGGACGGGUGAGUAAUGCUUAGGAAUCUGCCUAUUAGUGGGGGACAACAUUUCGAAAGGAAUGCUAAUACCGCAUACGUCCUACGGGAGAAAGCAGGGGAUCUUCGGACCUUGCGCUAAUAGAUGAGCCUAAGUCGGAUUAGCUAGUUGGUGGGGUAAAGGCCUACCAAGGCGACGAUCUGUAGCGGGUCUGAGAGGAUGAUCCGCCACACUGGGACUGAGACACGGCCCAGACUCCUACGGGAGGCAGCAGUGGGGAAUAUUGGACAAUGGGCGCAAGCCUGAUCCAGCCAUGCCGCGUGUGUGAAGAAGGCCUUAUGGUUGUAAAGCACUUUAAGCGAGGAGGAGGCUACUUUAGUUAAUACCUAGAGAUAGUGGACGUUACUCGCAGAAUAAGCACCGGCUAACUCUGUGCCAGCAGCCGCGGUAAUACAGAGGGUGCAAGCGUUAAUCGGAUUUACUGGGCGUAAAGCGCGCGUAGGCGGCUAAUUAAGUCAAAUGUGAAAUCCCCGAGCUUAACUUGGGAAUUGCAUUCGAUACUGGUUAGCUAGAGUGUGGGAGAGGAUGGUAGAAUUCCAGGUGUAGCGGUGAAAUGCGUAGAGAUCUGGAGGAAUACCGAUGGCGAAGGCAGCCAUCUGGCCUAACACUGACGCUGAGGUGCGAAAGCAUGGGGAGCAAACAGGAUUAGAUACCCUGGUAGUCCAUGCCGUAAACGAUGUCUACUAGCCGUUGGGGCCUUUGAGGCUUUAGUGGCGCAGCUAACGCGAUAAGUAGACCGCCUGGGGAGUACGGUCGCAAGACUAAAACUCAAAUGAAUUGACGGGGGCCCGCACAAGCGGUGGAGC
rnacentral:rRNA from 1 species